ACAUUAGCGUCUAACGAGUAUAAUUAAUUGUAAAUUAACGACGCAUUGGUUCCAUCGGUACCAAUCUUCGUUCAACGCAUCGGGUAUCAAGAGUCGGCGCGGGUUCCGGUUUUGAAAAGUAUCGAUCGCGAGAUAUCGUUGCGGGUAAAACAGAACUUGAUCGUCAGUUUUCCAUGGUUUUCCACUCACGCACAUUGCCGGCUGACGAGCUCUUGCUGAAAUCGUCAAAACAUAACCUCAAGUACAUAGUUCAAAACACGUGUGGAAACGGCGUGAAAUGAAGUGCUGACCGAUAGUAAUUUUUGUUCCUUCACAACCCUUGGAUAAAAAUGAAGCUAAAAAGCCUGCGUAAGAAUCCAUUAAAACGCGCGGUACCAAAGGAGGAAGAGAAUGCUGAGACUGCAGAAACAACAACGCCUGAAGAAUCUAAGGUUUCGAUACCCUCGGACAGUAAUUUUAAUCACAUAAAAUGUAAGAUAGUUCGUCACCAGAAGAGCGAAAAGUUUCGUCGAGAAAAGCGAAAAUUGAAAAAAGAGGAAAGAAAACAACGGCUGAGAGAAGGGUUGCCGAAGCAGGUUCCACACACAAUAGAGAGCUUGAGAGAAAAGGAUGAAACCACCAUACAAGGGGAUAUCGACGAUGAAGAAAAUGCAGAGAUCAAAGCUGACUUUGAAAAUGACGAAUUUUCUGCAUACUACAAUCAUUCUUACGAACCUAAAGUCCUCAUCACUUAUUCUGAUAAUCCACUGAGAAAGACUAGGAUCUUUGGACGAGAAUUGACCCGGAUUAUACCCAACUCCAUAUCUUUGUACAGAAACCGAUCUGGAGUCAAGAAAAUGGUCAAAAGUGCCAUUACCAAAGGGUUCACCGAUCUGAUUGUGAUCAAUGAGAAUAUGAAACAACCGAAUGGAAUGUUGGUUGUGCAUUUGCCUGAUGGUCCAACGGCACAUUUUAAACUUAGCAAUGUGAAAAUCACUCCAGAGUUGAAACGAUCUCACAAAGAGAUAACCGAACACCGCCCUGAGGUUAUUUUGAACAACUUCACCACUCGGCUUGGACACUCAGUUGGCAGAAUGCUCGGAGCAUUAUUUCAUUAUGAUCCGGAAUUCAAGGGACGAAGAGCUGUCACUUUUCACAAUCAACGUGACUACAUAUUUUUCAGACAUCACAGGUACGAGUUCAAUUUAAAGACAGGAAAACCAAAGCUGAGGGAAUUGGGUCCAAGAUUUACAUUAAAGUUACGUUCGUUGCAACGUGGAACAUUUGAUAGUAAAUAUGGUGAAUACGAGUGGAUAAUACAAGGACGUAGACACGCCAUGGAAACUAGUAGACGAAAGUUCUUCCUCUAGGGAGCGUGAAGACCGCCCAUGUUCACGCCGAGCAUUUUUAUCACUUUGAAAGAGCUACUCGUUACCUGCAGUGCCUGAAACGAUGGAAUCCGAAAAUUAGUAUUUGAGUUUGUCACCUGCUCAUCAAUGACCUACCAGCUGAAUACUGCGACGAUCCACGCGAUUAUCAGUCAUUGAUCCACUUCGUUUGCCAAACGGCUGAAGACAAAAUGUGAAGAGAUUGAAGUUCCUGGUGGAUCAAUUCAUCAGGGAGAAUGAUACUCACCAUAUCUGUAACCACGAUAUCGAUGGAGGAGUCUUUCAACGGCAGUUCCGAAACGCUCCAUUCGACCAAGUCCAUGCUUCGUGGUACGAGCUGGCCGUCAAUGUUGGACUUUGUUCUGGCAACUGCCUUCUCGUGAUUAUCUCCACAGAGAACGUUACUCAUUUCGAAUCAACGACUGGAUAAACAUUGCAAUGACGUGUCAAAUGAAGCUGGUUAUUGGUCUGAACAAAACCCAACGACUUCACAUACCACGCAGCUUGAUUUAUUAUCAUUAACCAACGUUGAGCGGCGCUACUCUAGUGGAAGGAUCAGUGGACGCAAGGACGAGUAUGAGCUCGUAAGUGCUGAUCUACGGUUCAGGUUAACCUGCCUACCGAAAUCAUCGAGUUAAUACCUAUUUGUCGUUUUUCGUAAGAAAGAAAUCAGGAUUAGUCGAUUAAUUUUAUUCGAAUUUCAUUUUAAUUGACUGGUACGUAUUACCAAGGUAAACAUUAUACAUCAGCAAACAAAGAAACGAUCGGCCAUAAAUUACAAGCGUUAAUUAGAAUUAAAAAUGAGAUGAUUAAAAUUUUGGAACCCAUUACUCUAUAUAAUUAUAGAUUAAUUGAAUUAUUCUAAGGUCAAUAUACAGCAGAAAACAAUCGCCUGAGCGAUUCAAGAUUAUUUAAUCCUAUAAUGUAAUGUAAUGUAAAUUUAUUUGAACUGGCCACAGGACAAAGUCCUCUAGUAGCCAAAAGGCAAUUACAAUAAAUAUCACAUAAAAUUACAUAAAUUACAUAAAAUCAAAAACAAAAACAAAAAUUGAUCGCAUAAACUGAAUUAUACAAUAUAAACAAGGUAAAUCGUAAUCAAAAACAUCGUUAUAAUUAUAAUUAUAAGUAUAAGUAUAAGAAUAAGUAUAAGUAUAAAUAUUAGUAUAUAAGUAUAUAUAAUUAUAAUUAAAGUAUAUAGUAUAUUAGUAUAUAGUAUAUAAGUGUAUAUAAGUAUAAGUUUAAUCUUAUAGGAUACCUAAUUGCUAACAGACGCCUUUUAUGUUCUUCAUAAAUAUUAAAACUAGCAUUAAAUUAAUUAAUCUCAACUGUACGUCAAUUUUGUAUAUCAGAAUCUUACUUGAGGAAUAAAAAUAUAAUAUUACCACA